rnacentral:tRNA from 1 species
GCCUGGCUGGCUCAGUCAGUAGAGCAUGUGAUUCUUGAUCUCAGGGUUGUGAGUUCGAGCCCCAUACUGGGCA